rnacentral:rRNA from 1 species
UGGGGAAUUUUGCACAAUGGGGGAAACCCUGAUGCAGCGACGCCGCGUGAUUUAGAAGGCCUUCGGGUUGUAAAAAUCUUUUCUAUGGGAAGAAAAUGACAGUACCAUAGGAAUAAGGACCGGCUAAUUACGUGCCAGCAGCCGCGGUAAUACGUAAGGUCCGAGCGUUGUCCGGAAUCAUUGGGCGUAAAGGGUACGUAGGCGGGUAAGCAAGUUAGAAGUGAAAUCCUGUAGCUCAACUACAGUAAGCUUUUACAACUGCUCAUCUUGAGAUAUGGAAGGGAAAGUGGAAUUCCUAGUGUAGCGGUGAAAUGCGCCAAUAUUAGGAGGAAUACCGGUGGCGAAGGCGACUUUCUGGCCAUAAUCUGACGCUGAGGUACAAAAGCGUGGGGAGCGAACAGG